GAAAUUAGGGUUACAAAUUCGUCGCCGCAAAGCCCUUGCCCUCCUUCGCCUCCAUAAAUAUCCACCGACGUUCUUCAUCUUCCUCACUUUUUUGUAGCUGAAUUCGUCUAUGGUUCAAAAUUCUCCGGUAUCCGUCCUAGCAGUUUCUUUUCGUAUGGUUUCAGUUUGUAUGCUUAGGGUUUAAUUUUGGUUAUUGAAGUUCAUCUGUGAAUAUUCCGAUGAAGAAGCUCUCCCAAAAUUGAUAGGAAGUGCCGUAUGACACUCCAAACCGCAGCGAGAAGCCAUUGAUACGACUCUUGGCUCCCAUCAGGCAGUGAACUCCGACGCCGAUUCGUUUCUACCCUGGGGCGGUCUGGUUGUUGGAUCGUUUUGCUGUCCGGGAAUUCUCAGUCGUUUUCCGUGAUUCUCCUGUGUGGUUGAUUUGAAACGGGUCUCUGAGGAUUUUGAGGGGUAAUGAUCAAGUCAACAGUAGUCGGCAUUGGUACUUCUUCAGAAGAAUCUUCCCAAUAAUGUUUGAAGAACUAAAGUUGUCUUGAAGAUGAUUGAUAUUCACCUAAUCUCGACCAUAAAUGAUGUUGACCAGAUAUUGAUGGAUGUUGUUUUAAGGGCUUCAUCAGUAUUGGAGAAUGCGGCCUACUUAAUUUGACUCGACACAAAAACGUUGUAAGGUGCUUCGUCACUAUGAAAUAAAAGGGUGAUCUCGUAGUUUUUUAGAGGAAAUAAAAGGUCUUCAUCACUAUCUCUCGUUGUAAGGUGCUUCCCAAUAGUGUGAAAAAUAAAAUGGUUCCGAAUGGUAUGAUCCCUCCGUCACUGAAAUAAAAGGGCGAUCUCGUAGUUCUUUGUCUGUGAAGAUACGUUGUAAGGUGCUUCGUUUUAUUUUCCCAUUGAGGUUGAACCUAAACUUGUGCUCGAGAGAUAGUUGUCCAUAUAUUGAUAAGGUAUGUAUGGAUUCUCGAGAAAAGUGGAAUUGAGACUGCCCGGAUCUCAUAGUGAAUAGAAAGUUGGAUCUACAUUGGAUCUCACCUGAA